rnacentral:rRNA from 1 species
AUCCCAUCCCGAACUCGGAAGUUAAGCCCUGCCGCGCGGAUGGUACUGCUGGGGCGACCCGGUGGGAGAGUACGUCGCUGCCAGCC